rnacentral:ncRNA from 1 species
GCAGAGUAGGAAACAAAGCGUAAAGUGCUAGGUAUACAGGGAGUUGAUAUCUAGACGAAAAGGAAGUCCUUGCGGUUUUGUCUCCGCAUCCCGCUGC